rnacentral:misc_RNA from 1 species
AUUUUUGUUAUAAUAACAUGACGUUCAUUACACAAAGUUUGUAAAAUAACCCAGAAGGGUUCAACAGUUCACAGGUGUAUAUGGAUAUAGUUUAGCCACGAAGGCAAAUCACUAAUGAUCCUUCCGCAGGUUCACCUACGGAAA